GAUGAACGCUGGCGGCGUGCCUAAUACAUGCAAGUCGAGCGAACGGACGAGAAGCUUGCUUCUCUGAUGUUAGCGUCGGACGGGUGAGUAACACGUGGAUAACCUACCUAUAAGACUGGGAUAACUUCGGGAAACCGGAGCUAAUACCGGAUAAUAUUUUGAACCGCAUGGUUCAAAAGUUAAAGACGUUCUUGCUGUCACUUAUAGAUUGACCCGCGCUGCAUUAGCUAGUUGGUAAGGUAACGGCUUACCAAGGCAACGAUGCAUAGCCGACCUGAGAGGGUGAUCGGCCACACUGGAACUGAGACACGGUCCAGACUCCUACGGGAGGCAGCAGUAGGGAAUCUUGCGCAAUGGGCGAAAGCCUGACGGGGCAACGCCGCGUGAGUGAUGAAGGUCUUCGGAUCGUAAAACUCUGUUAUUAGGGAAGAAAAGAUGUGUAAGUAACUGGGCACAUCAUGACGGUACCUAAUCAGAAAGCCACGGCUAACUACGUG
rnacentral:rRNA from 1 species